UGAAAAUUCUUACCAGGUAGACCCUUGGUAAUUAUAUCUGCAACUUGAUCUCCAGUGGUCACAUAAGGAGUACAGAUCAUGCCACUUUCAAGUUUCUCCUUUAUGAAAAGUUUGUCCACUUCAACAUGUUUUGUUCUAUCAUGUUGAACUGGAUUAUGUGAUAUGUUGAU